rnacentral:rRNA from 1 species
AUAUCAAUAAGCGGAGGAAAAGAAACCAACAGGGAUUGCCUCAGUAACGGCGAGUGAAGCGGCAACAGCUCAAAUUUGAAAUCUGGCUCUUUUCAGGGUCCGAGUUGUAAUUUGUAGAAGGAUGCUUCGAGCGUCGGCUACCGGUCUAAGUUCCUUGGAACAGGACGUCAUAGAGGGUGAGAAUCCCGUAUGUGAUCUGGUUCACCUUCGCUCAUGUGAAGCUCUUUCGACGAGUCGAGUUGUUUGGGAAUGCAGCUCUAAAAUAGGAUGGUAAAUUUCAUCUAAAGCUAAAUACUUGGCCAGAGACCGAUAGCGCACAAGUAGAGUCGAUCGAAAGAUGAAAAGCACUUUGGAAAGAGAGUCUAAAAAGUAC